GUCAUGUUUCCCUCAGAACUCUACCACCAGCACUGAGGCCACUCGCCCUGAUCCUUUCCCAACAUUAAAGUCUUUUGGAAGAUCUUGGAGUGUUUUGUAAUAUUUCAAAGUGGACAAAAGAAAAAAAUAUAUCCUGCACUGAGGAAAGAUCAUCAUGGAGAAUCGAGUUCAGGGAGUUGGCCGGUGUAAGUUUGCCUUUUGGUUCGCUGUGUUCCAUGAUAUUCUUGGCCUCCUCAUCCUCUUGUCUGGUGUGUUUUGGAACAUCUUCUUCCAUGAUUUUUUGGUCUAUGCUGGAUCUUUGAUCAUCUUCCUGAGCCUGAUCUGGUGGGUGUUCUGGUACAGUGGUAACAUUGAGGUUCCUCCUGCAGAACUGGAGGAUGACAUUGCGCAGUAUAAAAAGAGCAAAGGGAUCUCUGGAGUUGUGCGCAAAGUUUCUAAUCGUAUUUCAAACGGACUGAGGAAUUCCUUCAGGAAGAGCGGGAGGUCCGGCAGGCAGGUGUGGAACUCUCGGCCAAACGGCACCAGUGGCUCAGUCUCUGCAGAGUGGCCUUCUAUCUCCAUGGUCUCCUAUAUCAACCCACCACCAGUGGACCCAUCCAACAGCAUGAACAGAGAAUCAUUAUCAAUAUGACCUAGAGACUUUGCACUACAGUGAGUGGAGUGUGCUGAUUGGUUGAAAUCCUUGGUCAUGUUUCCACAGCAAAGGACAACUUUACCUGCGCUCCAUCAAGAAAGCACUUAACCGGAAUGAUGUUGAUACGCUUUGAAUCUCCUGCUGAUUUGAUCAGAACUGCUUUAUUCUUGCAUAUUUAUAAUAUUUUGUAAAUGGUCUGUGUAAUAUGUAAUGUACUGUAUAUUGUGCAUAUUUACAAUAUGAUAAUGUAUACCAGUGAUUGUAAUUUCAAUUCAACAUAUGCUGUAUGUCAUGUAGCAUUAUUUACUGUUUUCUUCUGACAAACUCAAUACCUUGUAUGUUGUUCUAUACACCGGCUUGUGUUCUCCUUUUUAAAGUUCUGUUACCCUGUAGAGCAGGGGUGUAAAACUCCAAUUACAUAAAUGAACCAUAUUAAAAAAAUACAAAACUGGGG